AGAGGUGUAAGUUAAAGAUUAAACUGUGUGGUUCAUGUUCAUAUAAUACUCCUGCGAGGGUCUCCUCUU
rnacentral:tRNA from 1 species